rnacentral:lncRNA from 1 species
GCCAGAUGCCAUGUCAAGAGGGUAUCACACAGCCCUAUGGAGAGGUCCACAUGGCAAGAAACUAAGACCCCUUGCCAACAGCCACGCAAGUGAGCCAUGUUGGAAGCAGGUCCUCCAGCCCCAGUCAAGUCUUCAGAUGACUGCAGUCCUUGUCGACUUUUGAACUACAACUUCAUGAGAAACCUUGAGCCAGAACCUCCAGAUAAGCUGUUCUCAUAUUCCUGACCCACAAAAACUAUGUCAAUAGUAAAUUUCUGUCAUGGGAAAACAGCAUAUUUAGUGUUUUUCAGAGUGCUGUCCUGCUCUGAUGCUGACACUCUUAGUCUCUCACCCCCUAGAUUUCCCAAGCAGGAGGGCCACUCAAUUUCUGCAUCAACCAAAUGCAAGGAACACACUUGAAGGCUCUCCAAGUGGUCCUGCUGAAGUCCCCAUCACUUCUCGUGAGUUGAGAAAAACUUAGCACUGGAACAGUUCGCUAAAGAACUCUCUUAACAAAGCCUACCCACACUCAUUUAGAAGUGGUCGAGGAGACUGAACUGAGACAAAUAACAGCCUGGGCUCUUAGUGUCAACUUGCCUGGUUUCAAACGCUUGUGCCAGAUAAUCUUGGAAAUGGACCAGAUGACACCUCAACCAAACUAAUAUUCUCCAAUCGAUGAACUCAUAAGCUCAUAAAACAACGUGGAAAGAGAAGGAGGAGGUCAGAGAAGACGGCAUGAAUGAGCAAAGAGGCUGCCAUUCCUCAAAGAU